AGUGAACGCUGGCGGCGUGCCUAACACAUGCAAGUCGAACGGCAGCACAGGAGAGCUUGCUCUCUGGGUGGCGAGUGGCGGACGGGUGAGGAAUACAUCGGAAUCUACCUUUUCGUGGGGGAUAACGUAGGGAAACUUACGCUAAUACCGCAUACGACCUACGGGUGAAAGUGGGGGACCGCAAGGCCUCACGCGAUUAGAUGAGCCGAUGUCCGAUUAGCUAGUUGGCGGGGUAAUGGCCCACCAAGGCGACGAUCGGUAGCUGGUCUGAGAGGAUGAUCAGCCACACUGGAACUGAGAUACGGUCCAGACUCCUACGGGAGGCAGCAGUGGGGAAUAUUGGGCAAUGGGGAAACCCUGACCCAGCGACGCCGCGUGGGUGAAGAAAUCCUUCGGGAUGUAAAGCCCUGUUGUAUGGGAAGAGCGGAAGACGGUACCAUACGAGGAAGCCCCGGAAACUACGUGCCAGCAGCCGCGGUAAUGAUCACGUGUA
rnacentral:rRNA from 1 species